GACGAACGCUGGCGGCGGGCUUAACACAUGCAAGUCGAACGGAAAGGCCCGGGUUUUGGGGGGUGCUCGGGUGGCGAACGGGUGAGUAACACGUGAGUAACCUGCCCUUGACUUUGGGAUAACUUCAUGAAACUGGGGCUAAUAGCGGAUAGGAGCUCCUGCUGCAUGGUGGGGGUUGGAAAGUUUCGGCGGUUGGGGAUGGACUCGCGGCUUAUCAGCUUGUUGGUGGGGUAGUGGCUUACCAAGACUUUGACGGGUAGACGUGCUGAGCGGGUGACCGGCCACAUUGGGCCUGAGAUACGGCACAGACUACUACGGGAGGCAGAAGUGGGGAAUAUUGCACAAUGGGAGGAAGCAUGAUCCAGCACAGCCGCGUGCGGGAUGACGGCAUUCGGGUUGUAAACCGCUUUCGUCUGUGCCGAAGCGUGAGUGACGGUAAUGGGUAAAGAAGCACCGGCUAACUACGUG
rnacentral:rRNA from 1 species